GUGGGGAAUAUUGGACAAUGGGCGAAAGCCUGAUCCAGCAAUGCCGCGUGAGUGAUGAAGGCCUUCGGGUCGUAAAGCUCUGUCAGAGGGGAAGAAAUGCAGGGGUGCUAAUAUCAUCUUUGCUUGACGGUACCCUCAAAGGAAGCACCGGCUAACUCCGUGCCAGCAGCCGCGGUAAUACGGAGGGUGCGAGCGUUGUUCGGAAUUAUUGGGCGUAAAGCGCGUGUAGGCGGUUUGGUAAGUCUGAUGUGAAAGCCCCGGGCUCAACCUGGGAAGGGCAUUGGAAACUGUCAGACUUGAAUACGGGAGAGGGGAGGGGAAUUCCUAGUGUAGGAGUGAAAUCCGUAGAUAUUAGGAGGAACACCGGUGGCGAAGGCGGCUACCUGGACCGAUAUUGACGCUGAGACGCGAAAGCGUGGGGAGCAAACAGGAUUAGAAACCCCGGUAGUCC
rnacentral:rRNA from 1 species